rnacentral:rRNA from 1 species
UACGUAGGGUCCAAGCGUUAUCCGGAAUUACUGGGCGUAAAGAGUUGCGUAGGUGGCAUAGUAAGUAGAUAGUGAAAGCGUGUGGCUCAAUCAUACAUCCAUUAUCUAAAACUGCUAAGCUUGAGGAUGAGAGAGGUAGAUGGAAUUCCUAAUGUAGGGGUAAUAUCCGUAGAUAUUAGGAGGAAACACCGAUGGCGUAAGCAGUCUACUGGCUCAUUCCUGACACUAAGGCACGAAAGCGUGGGGAGCAAACGGG